AACUUAUCUAGAGAGGUGGAGGGACUGGCCCUAUGAAGCCCGGCAACCGGUAUUAUUUUUAAUAAUACAAUGGUGCCAAUUCCUGCAGUAUUCUUAUGAAUACUGAAAGAUGAGGG
rnacentral:ncRNA from 2 species